CUUUCUUGUCUAGAUAAGAAAUCAGUCGAUUGCUGCAAUCAUCCCGAUUUCCAGCUCAAAUUCCAUUUCCAACCCAAAUCACAUUUCCAACACGAAGCGAAUUUAAAAAAAAAUUUCCAACUCAAAUAUCAAAUUUCCAUGCACUUCAAAUUCAAAUUUCCAACCCAAAUCAACUUGCAAGCUUGAAUCAACUUUGUAGCUCGAAUUUCAAGCUCAAAGAAUUCAAACUUUACCCACAUAAAGCUUAUGGUUAUGCAAGCCUAACAGAAAGGCUUAGAGUUCGUGUUAUUUUAAUUUUAGGAUAGGUAAUAGAAUCCUCACAUAGCCUCAACCACAACAAGAGGAUGGACGGAUAUACGAAAUACAUAGUUAACAACAAGGACCCAGUUUACAAUAUCUCACUGCAUGGUCUACUUUCCAGACCCUGCGAAGAUAUAAGAAAACCAUUUACUAAAUGAGAUACAGGAAAAUUACACACCACAAAAUCACAAGCGACUGUGCAGAUCUUAUUACCAAUUCCUAAUUUGCAAUAUCGCGGCAUGAUAAAUGUGCAUCAUCAAAUCACACCUAUCAAUUACCAAGUAAUAACUUUACAUGCAGUACAUACUAGCUUCAAUUACGAUAUUUCUACAAUGGAUUGACAUAAAUAGGCACAAAACAGCGCACAGAUUAUACGCGUGCACAUAAUAUGCGGUGUUUAACGGCAUGGUCUACUUUGAAGAGCCCGUUGAAAAUAUAAGAAAUCAUUCAAAUAAAUAAUGAUUAUAAGUAAACCACAAACCAAAGGCCCAAGACGCAUGUGGCAGUCCUAUUACCUAUUCCAAAAUUAAAAUAUAUAAAAGUACUUUGGGCAGGUCAAGAGGUGCAUGAUGUGUUCGACGGAAGAGUACAUGGUGAUACUUUCAAGCCUGUAACUUUAUUCUCUGUUUUGCCCCUCUAUGCUAUGCGUUAAUUGUUAAUCUAGAUUGGUUUCAACCGUCCUUAAAUGCUUAAAAGCAUGCAAUGUACUCUGUAGGCGCAAAGCAAUUGAUUACUACUCUUCCUGAAAAUAAACGCUUUAAAACGG